rnacentral:rRNA from 1 species
UACAGAGGUCUCAAGCGUUGUUCGGAUUCAUUGGGCGUAAAGGGUGCGUAGGCGGCGCGGUAAGUCGGGUGUGAAAUCUUGGAGCUUAACUCCGAAACUGCAUUCGAUACUGCCGUGCUUGAGGACUGGAGAGGAGACUGGAAUUUACGGUGUAGCUGGUGAAAUGCGUAGAUAUCGUAAGGAAGACCAGUGGCGAAGGCGGGUCUCUGGACAGUUCCUGACGUGAGGCACGAAGGUCAGGGGAGCAAACGGG